GCCGGGAGCGCCUGCCCCGGCAUCGGCGGCACGCUGUACCGCGCGCACGGGGCCAGCUGGCUCAGCUGCGCCCCGCAGGUGCCGCGCGGCGGCUGCGCCUUGGCCGCGCCGCCCAGGGUCACCAGCAGCAGGACCAGGAGGGCCGCCUGGCCCGUGGUCGCCGCCAUCGUCGUCGUCGCCGGCGGCUCGGUGCGCGCGCUGCGAGCUUGAGAGACGGAAAUGAGUUCCUGUGUGUGUGGUUGGCGGUGUGGUGGUGGUGCGGGAGCGCGUGGUUUUAUAGGUGGGGCGACGGAGGUGGGAGGCGGCGAGUCUUGCGUUGCUCACCUACGCUACGCAGGCAGCGGGCGGUGCUCGGAUCGGCGCCGGGCGGGAGGAGCGGGCCACGGCAAGCGUGUGAGGCACUGAGGCUGACCCGACCCAACUAAUAAGCCCAGCUCGGAGACCCGCUUCGUCCGUUUGAUCAUCGGGACAAAAAAACUUGGUUCAACGUAGAGACAUGUUUGGACCGGUGUCCUUUCACUAUCCGCGCCGAUCCAAUCUUUGACGAAUACCAGCAAACAUGUCUGUGUGUUACAGCAGGAGAAAAAAAAAUCAUCCCUAAUAGGCACUGGCCGAUACCAGUAAAUCCCUUGAAAUCUCCACACAACAAACAAUAUGAUAAGUGACGUUGCGUUAAACGUAAUGGUGGAUGAUUUUUGAAGUGUAUUCAAGGUGCUUUAAAAAAAAGUUAUGGACAUAAUUAAAUUUUUUGGAAAUUAACAUUAAGCCACUUGUUUACAUAAAGCUCAAAUCAUCAAUUUAGUGUACAACAUCGUAUAUUGGUUGGUUAUAUUGUGCAUGAUGUGAAAUAGGAUGACCGUGUACCUAUUGUAACCUUUAGCAUACAAAGUAGCUAGUAGAAAUCAACAUCCGCUAUGGUGCCAAUACUAUCUUUUACGAGAGUAUUAAACUAUCGUAUCUAUUCAAGUUAAAUGGAAUAAAAAAAAUAUGUAAUAGGCAUUUUCAAAAUACCCAAUAUAGAGAAGGUAUUAAUCAAGGUUGCAACAUAUAUUUUAUUUUAAAAAUGAGUAACAUGUAAGAUAAGAGUAUAUUUGAAAUCUACAUAUUCUUUUGAACAAUUAUCAUAUAUAACAUGUUAGAUUUGGAAUUAGGGUUUGAAAGAUAUGAAUAUCCUAAAAAGCAUUUGAAUUAGAAAAAAUAGCAUUUGAAUUAGAAAAAAUGAAAAAGGGGUAGCUGUUUUGAUGUGUUUAAUUUGGGACCGCACUGUAUAUAAACCGAAGUAAACGCCCCAUGUAGCAAAUUGAACUGUUUUUUUGUUUAUGAACGAUAUGAUGGGUAAUUUGUGUUAACUUUGGGAUAGUUCUAAUGACGAACUUGGCAGAAACAAUAACCUUUUUAUUAGUACGCAUAGAUGGGCUAGAAUGGGUUUCAAACAAACAGAAACGGACACUCCCGUCGUUUGCUGGUGCUCGCUUGUGUCCACCCUGGUCCCAAAGACCAGCGACCGCACCAGCCGGGGCUUUGCCUCCAUAAUGACGUGCACCGGCGCAUGCCACCUCUCUUUUUGAGUCAGUCGUUGUGUUAGGAUCUUGCCGGCGGGCCCGCGGCGCCGAUGAUUGGCCGAUCGUGGCCGCCAGACGCCACGUCGGGGUCCGACCACACAAGGGGGAGGAGCGGGGCACGACGAUUACCUCGCCAUGGAGGAAGGGGCGGGGCACAUAUAAAGGAUGGACGCGUUGAUGCGGAGGGAGAGGGUCAUGAACUUCGAAAACAUUUUUCUGUGCAAAUAAAUAUUGAAAAGGUACACAAUUUAUGAAAUGCAUGAAUAUUUUAUAAAGUGUGAGCACUUUUAGAAAAUUCUGAAUACUUUGAAAACCAAUCAAUUUUGAUAAAACGAUAACACUUUCUGAAACAUAUAUUUUAAAUCUAGAACAACAAAUUUAAAGUGCGAACAUUCUUUGAAAAUUAAAAAAAUGGUAACAAAAUUUGAAACCUGAGCAAACGUGUAAAGAAAUGUUUUUGACAUCUAAAAAAUAUCACAAGUUUAGAGAAAUGUACAUGGCAUUUCAAAAAAAUGUAUGUAUAAUGUAAAUAAUAUCCGUGUAAUUCUAACAAAUGUUUCUUCCAUUCAAAAAGAUGCAACAUUUCAAGAAUGUUCAAGAGUUUCAAAACAUGUGCUUGUAACAUUUUUAGAAAGAAGUGUAUACAAUGUAAAAAAGUUAGCGUGACGUAAAUAAUGUGUCAUACCCUUAGAAAAUUAUACCCGACAUGUGUUUGAAAUUUUAUAAAUGUGUAACAAUGUAAAAAAAUGUUUGUAUAGUUUUACAAGAUGUCUGUAUAGUUUUAUAAAUGUCUAUCGUCGUUAAGAAAUAAAAAAAUAUAUUUGAAAAAUAUUACUGUGUAUUCAUUUCUUUAAACAUGUAUCUAAAAAGAUAUAAAUAAAGUAUCAAAAAAUAUUUGUGCUAAAAAUUUGCAAUGUGUACUGACAAUAAUUAGACAUGUGUAAAAUAUAUAAUUGGUUACCGUACAGAAACAAAACAAAAGCGAAAAAAAAGAAAACACUAUGAAGAAAAUCAAGAAAGAAACAAAAGAAAUCAAAAGUAUAACGAGAAAGUAAAACCAGAUAAUGCCAGUGAAAAAAUAAAGCAUAACGAACAAAAAAUCAAAGAAAAAAAAGAAAACAAGACCAGCACGAGAGACUGUGCCAAUGGGCUGGCGCAGUUCAGCGAAUACCGGCUAAAUUCUAUCAACGUUUAAAAUAGACCGGGAUCAAGGAUUUUGGUUUGCUGAUUCCAGGAAUUAAGAGUUCAGAGUUUGAUUUAGCUUCGGCCUAUAUAUAUGAAAGGUUUGUUUUGGAUUUUUUUCCUUUUUCUUUUUGCUAUACUCGAGCGGUCUGGUGUUGUGGUGCACGUUGGCUUCUCCUGCCCAGGAAUCACCUCGCCAACAAGAUCCAAAAUGUCCUAAUAAAGAAAAUAAAAUAAAAAGAACAUGUUUCUGUCAAAAUAGGUAGCACUGUUGGGUAAAAAGACGCACGCCUUCGUUGCUCUCGUGAGGCAGGCGAUUGGGGUUUUCGUUGCCUCCCGUCGCAUAGCCGUCGAGCUGCCUUGUCUUCUGUGGCCUUAGGAUCAUGUAGACGCGAUCGAUCUCGGUCCUUGCUGGGGGGGGGGAGGUGUUUCAUUUUUAGAGUUUGUUUGAGUUUUGAUAGGGUUUGUGUCUUGCUCAGAAAGAUGAGGCGGUGCGUGUUUCUUGGAGAUGGAAUAAGUUUUUCCUCAUAUAGCCCCAGAUGAAAUAAGUUUUUCCUCAUAUAGCCCCCACCCGUUCUGAUGAUGCUUCUAGCAUCGCCGGAGGGUGUAUGAAGAUUUAUCUCGGACGGAUCUCAGGAGAUUCAGUCGACGUUUGACUUUGAUGGAUCCGAUCGGAUCCAUUUUUCGUUCGUCUAAGUUGAUGUGUCGGCAGGUUGGAUUUUUGGUGCUUAGUGUUGUUUUCAUACGGGGCGCUCACUAGCAAAGCCAUUGGGCCAGCCCAUGUAAAGCGAACAGUGAUUGAGCUGCCCAAUCUGAUUUUGCGAUUUUUGCACUCAUAUUUUCCCCUGAAUCUAUCAAUCAUUUUUUCAAAUACCACUCAAUUUUUUUCAGAAUCCACAAACUAUUUUUGCAAAUUUGUGAACAGUUUUUAAUCCACGAACUUUUUCCACAAAAAUCAUGAACUUUUUUCAAAUUCGCAAACACUCUCAAAUCAGUGAACUUUUCUUCAAAUUCACGAGAUUUUUCCAGAUCCAUGAGUUAUUUUUUCAAAUUCUCUAAGACUUAUAAAAUAAGUGAACUUUUUUAAAGUUCACUAAUACUUAUCCAAUCAGUGAAGUUUUUCUAACUCAUGAGUUUUUUUUCAAACCACAAUCUUUUUAUGAAUUCGCAACAAUAAAUUCAUGAACACUUUCCAAAUCAGGGAUGGUUAUUUUCAAAAUUCACAAACGUUUUAUGAAUUCACAAGUUUUAUUUUUCAAAUCCAUGAGUUUUUUGGAAUUUGCAAACUUUUAAAAAAGGGGAGUUUCAUAAAAUUCCAUGAACUUUUAAAAAUGCACCAGUUUUUUUGAAGUCCAUGAUAUGUUUUCGAAUCGUAAUCUUUUCAAAUCCAUGAUAUUUUUUCGAAUUCUUGAUUUUUAUCAAACCCAUGAAACUUUUCUCAAUGUCCAUGAACUGUUUUCAAAUUUGCGAACAUUAUUCAAACCUACAAUUUUGUACGAGUUUUGUUUCAAAUACGCGGCGCUCACUAUCCAAGCCUGCAAGGGUGUGUCUAUAACGGGUUGGCCGGUGUUCCUGGUUUUAAAUGGUAUUGUGUGGUUUUUCAUUUUUCUGUCUUUUCUGUGUCUUCUCUACUGUUUUAGUAUAUUUUCUUUGAUUUAUGAUUUUACUCUUUCCAUUAUUUUAUUCUCCUUUUUUUCAUAUCUUAAUUCAUGAAUAUUUAUUCAGUUUAUGAAUAUUGUAAAACAUGAUUUCCAUUUAAAAUUCACAAAAAAGUAAUAUUCGUGAAUUUUCUUUAAAUUCAUGAAUAUUUCUAUAGUUCACAAAACAAUUACAGCCUAUUUAUUUUAAAAAAUUUGAACCUCUGUUAGAAUUCACUAACAUUGUUUGAAGUCCAUGAAUAUUUUAUAGAUGUCUGAACAUCUUAGAAUAAUCAUAGUUAUUCUGUUUUGCAAUAUUUUUUGAAAUUUUGUGAACAUAGUUUUAGUUAAUGAAUUCUUUCAAACCAAAAAAAUAUGGUAAUCAUAUUUUCGGAGCUAGGAGUGUAGUGAGCAGGGAAAAAAAAGCUAAGUGGGUGAGUGAAGCACGUGCCAUGUUGAGCGAGCGAGAGCUACAUUGACUGGCCCAUGUGAGUGUUACUCCCUCCGUUCUUAAAUACAAGUUUUUUAAGAGUUUUUAUUAGGGGUUUACAUACGGAGCAAAAUGAGCGAAUCUAUAUUCUAAAGUAUGUUUAUAUACAUCCGUAUAUAGUCCACUGAUUGAACCUCUAAAAAAAUUUAUAUUUAAAAACGGGGGAGUAUAAUAAUAAUUCCAUGAUUUUAAUACGGAAUAAGAGCUUCCAAGGGGCUUACGCAACACAAUCAUCAUCGGCUGACACCAAGGCCCAAACGUGUAAGGACAACAUUAGCACACAUGUAACAACUACGGUUUCCUCACGGAACAGCUAUAUUCUUCAAUAACAGCCCAACACGUUAUAUUAACGAGAAACACCGGAGGUGGUGUAUUGGAACAUAGGUGUAGAUACACCUCUACACCUACCAUGAAAUAUAUAUGUUAAUAAUACAUUUCAAAAUGUUACAAAAUUGCAAACAAAAAUUUCGCAUGUACAUUCGGACAUUCUGUGUUCGCACACUAAAUUCACAAGGAAAGAACUUUUUGUGGCAUGUAUAAAAGAGAUAAAAAUAAUAUCUCGUGAAUAGUUGUAAUCAAGCAUCGAAAAUUGUCUUUUAUACACAAGCCACAAAAAAUGUCCCUUUUUACCGAAACAUUAUGCAUGAACAUAUAAUGUCCGGAUGUACGCAUUAGAUUUUUUUUCUUUAAUUUUUUAACAUUUUAAAAUGUGUAUAUUUAAACAAUGGAUGGAUAUACAUCUAUGAGCCAAAAUGAACUUAUCGUCCACCAUAACAUAGCUAAAUUCAAGUGAGCGUUGAUAAAACCAAAAUGAAAGAACCAAUCGCAAUAAUUUGCUAAAGAAAAAGGAGUUAAUACCAUGAAUGAAGGACACCACAGCGAAGCGCGCGUUAGCUUCUCAUCACACUGAUACAGAUGAAAUAACUUGUAUAAGAAUUUUACAAGUUUAAAUCUUAGCGACUUUGGUGUUGCCUUACUGCUCUAGCAUAUUUUAUUUCCUAGUUAGUGUACUUGAUUCGGCCUUGAUAUAUGUCAAACUACAGGAAACGAGUGCGGUGCUACAGAAGCGAAUUGAGCACGGGUCCAAGUAUGAAAACUUUGGCAAGCUCUCCUUGUUCAGUACUUUCAAAUCGUUAUUUUAUAUUUUAUCUUACUCCCUCCAUAUCAUAAUAUAAAAAAAAAUUGACACUAUGAUGGUGUCAAAAAGAUAUCUCAUAUUUUGAUACAAAGGGAGUAUCAUCAAGAUGCAUAAAAUAUGUUGACAUAAAUCGUGUGGAAUAACGGUUGGCAAAUAGUUGGGUAGAUGGAGCACUUAAUCCAUUGAUAUAAUUAUUUGGCGGGUACGAGGUGCCCGGGAUGGACAUAUUGGAAGGUGUCUUCCACUUACAUAUGAGCAUCAUAUACGAAUAAAUUCACUCUCACUUUGUAUGCGCAUCCAUACAAAAAUCGUAUCAACUACAUGCUUGCCAAAAAUAAUGUCAAGCAAAGGCCUACUACA
rnacentral:lncRNA from 1 species